GAUGAACGCUGGCGGUAUGCUUAACACAUGCAAGUUGAACGAAAGUUUUUAACUUUAGUAGCGGACGGGUGAGUAAUACGUGAGAAUCUACCUUUAGGAAGGGGACAACAAUUGGAAACGAUUGCUAAUACCCUAUAUGCUAAAUAGUAAAAUGGAGUAAUCCGCCUAGAGAUGAGCUCACGCCUGAUUAGCUAGUUGGUAGGGUAAAGGCCUACCAAGGCAACGAUCAGUAGCUGGUUUGAGAGGAUGAUCAGCCACACUGGAACUGAGACACGGUCCAGACUUCUACGGAAGGCAGCAGUGGGGAAUUUUCCGCAAUGGGCGCAAGCCUGACGGAGCAAUACCGCGUGAGGGAAGAAUGCCUGUGGGUUGUAAACCUCUUUUCUUAAGGAAGAAUCAAUGACGGUACUUAAGGAAUAAGCAUCGGCUAACUCCGUGCCAGCCGCCGCCGUAAC
rnacentral:rRNA from 1 species